GGAAAAUGUACAAGUUCUAACAAGUUUUGCAAUCCUUGCAAAGUAGCUUGGGCCUUGCAAAACCAUUGGUUAUAGAGAUGAGCAAAGCCCUAAUACUGUGAAGUUCCUACAGGGAAACGUGGCCAGAGGAUUAGGCGCUAAUCUCUGACCUGAGAAGAUGUGAUGAAUGUCUACACUGUCGAUGGUACUGCAGCAGAGAUAGCUGAGCUCGUUAUGACUAGUUUUUGGCGGAAUAACCUAGUUCUGCACUUAGGGGUAUGGGAAGCUAAUUUCCAUUCCACCAGUGGAGUAAAUUAACCCAUGCAGAGAUCAACGCUAGAGAGUCAAGAAAGCAGAAAAUGGUAGCCUACACUGUAGCUGUACACCCUGUUUCCUCAUGUCCAAAUUUCUUAGAUGGCCACAAUCAAAUUGUUUGUCCUCUUGGCAUGUACACUUAUAAGGAAAAACAAAGUAUCGUGCCUAUUUUGCGUGCUUACCCUGAAGAGCAGUGCAUGUUGAUCUACAAAAUGCUCAGAUAUGGAAGGAUGUUACAUAGGUUGCUUAGAAAGAUGAAGGGAUUGAUUUUGUUAUUCCUUCAUCUUCCUCACAGCUAUAAACAACAGCUCUUUCUGCCCGGGAAUGGACUCAUAAGGCCCAGUUGGGAGAAUGACAGCUCUGCCCUGCUGCAUGGAGAAGAUGGAGGCUGGUAGUCGUCUCAUGCUGUGGGUGUAUGUCAUCCAUCACUGAAAGCCCCUCAAAAGCAACUGAAGAAAAUGCAUGAGAGGGAGUAAAUUCUUAUUUGUGUAGAGAAGAAACGAGUCUGGUCUUCGGUCCCACAUCUACACCAGGUUUCUCUUGACUGACUGCGAUCUGACUCUACUUUUGCCACUUCAAGUGGGUUUGCCUGUAAGUUUGCCUAGAAGCUGCUGGAAAGGUAGGAGAGCCACUGCUUUCUCACAUAAUGAAACUCUUCCAAGUAGUCUAAGAUUUCUCCUGUUCAUGUAACAUCUCCCUUAUCAGCUCUCUCAUGUACAAACUGUGUAAUAACAACGUAGCUUGAACAGCACUGCAAGCUUAUUUGCUUUGUGAUUUGUGGUCAGAUCAUUGCAUUUCAGCAUUUACCAAUGAAAGGAAAUUACUAACAAGACACUGAUAUUUACAUUAAUUGUGGCUUUGAGGAGAUAGUCCAAAGAAAAUUAUACUAAAGCCAGCUAUUAUGUGUCUCCCUAACAAUUAGAAUGAAACCCAAAGUUUAUAAAGCAAAAGUUGAUCUCAAACAGAUUUCAGCUGCUACUUGAUAUUUUCCCUUUCAAGGGGGUGAGAGGAGAAAAAGAAGAAUUCCCCUCUUUUUCUAAAGCAGUGUAAAGAACACUUUUUGAAAGAGCAUGUAUGCUAAUGCAGGAGAAACUCUUCAUUUCCACUGAGCAUUAUCUAUCUCUGCUUCCAAGGAGGCCUACUGGAGCAGGCCAGUUUUCACACGAUACAUACUAAAUGGCAGGGUUUACUCAGUUAAAGCCAACAAUUUUCAUUAUUUUUUUCACCUCUUGUGCAGCUCUGUAGGUUAAACAGGUUUGGCUCCAAAAUCUCCAAGAUGCCUCAAGCACGUUUCAUGCAUGUCCUACUAGAUAGUCUUGUGAGAGUCCUAGGAACAAACUUCUACUUCAGCUGAACAGUUUCUGGACACAAAUUCAGUGCUCUUUGCAAUGUUUGAUGUAUGAUGAACACUAAUUUAGGUUUCUUAAGAUGACUCAUGUGCCAGCAUAGUAGAUCCAAGAAACAAACACAGAUGUGAGAUUUAAAUUCUCCUUUGGCAUAAAGUACUGCCAGGACUCCUCAUGCUCUGAACCACAAACUAUCUCCAGUGGAGACUAGUAACACAGUUUUUUUGUCUCUCAACUAAUCAGGUAGCUUCUGACUUUAAGUGAUCAGGGAUAUAAAUGCACCUUGUUCUUCCACUACAUGUUGGUGCUGUUUGUGUGUGUCCACUAACUGUGGGAUUUGUCUCAUGAAACCCUAGAUGUCCACCCCUAGCUUCUUAUGGAGUUUCCAUUCACGGUGGAGAAAUACAGGCAGUUCUCAAGUAUGAUUCAUCUGACCUCCCAUCACCAUCUAUUCUAGAAACGUGUCUGAAGUAAAAUGAAAUUAAGUCCUUUCCCCAGAAUUCUUCUGCAAGAAGAGGGAUUUUGGAUGCUGUGGGGAGGCAUUCUUGGCUCCCUUUCCUCAGAUGACCCCAUUACCAGAUGUUACCUUCACAUCACUGCACAAGUCCUAAGCAGAUCCAGGCACAGGAAUGUGUGUUCUGGCACGAGUCAGCAUGGGGCGGGCAUGUAAAUGUGUUCGUGCUGACCUUGCUUUGGGGUUAUUCUUCUCACCCCUCUGCUCAUCCAAGUUGAAGUGGACAGCACUGCUUGAUAUGUGUCUGGCCAUAAAAAGGCUGCAGACUAAAAGUGUAACUGGUUUUAAUUAUUAAGGUGUAAUUUAGGUCUUCAUGUUUAUAGGAUAAUUGUUUCUUUUUUAAUAUAAUUUAAACUUUGCAAUACAAGAAACAGGCCUGAACCUGUGGAUGGAGUGUUGGAAACUGUCUAAGAAGAUUAAGGUCUCUUAAUUGAUUUCACAUAAACAGGUGUGACUGAAUUCAUCAGAAGAAGGUUAAGACUAAAUGCAUUCUGCUAAUUAUGCAAAAAUUGCCACAGUGGGUGCUCAGUUGAGCAAUUGCCUUCCCUUUCCACGUGGGAUCAGUUCUCAACUGUAUGUCAAAUGGGAAAAUUGUCAUUUCCUAAGCAAAUGAACCAGCCUGUCACACACUGUUUUAUUUUUAAAGUCUACUUUGCUCAUAGAUGAUAGUGGUGGAUUUGGCAACAGGACAUGGGAAUGUCCCUUGUGAGCUGUGCUGUGUUUGGUGUGGGAGGACAGGUGUCAAAGCAGGGCUGCGUCAUUUUUCUAAACUUCAGGAAUCCCCAUUCAUGAAAAUCCCUGUUUUAGGAAACUGAGACACUAACUCUAACAUGUGCUACUUGCUCUUAAUGUUUACUUAUUUUAGUCAUUAUUUUAUUUAUUUAUUAUUUAUUAUUUAUUAUUUAUUUAUUUUUAUAUUUAUUUUAUAUUUAUUAUUUAGUCAUUAUUUUUUUGUUGAAACUUAACUGUAAACUUUGGAGAUCCAUAACAUGGAUACAGGACACCCUUUGUCUUGAGUUUCAAAAUAGCAAGUGGAGUAUAUAACUCUUCAUGCAGCUGACAAGCAUACUUAUUUGUUCUGCUUGCUCUGCGCUCCAUACUGUCGUCUUAAUCUUAAAUCCCAAGAGAAUGAGAAAGUAUGGAUGUGUUGGCUGUAGUUGUAGACAGGCUAAAGGCUCUGUUUUUGAGAUGUCCGUCUCAAAGAUCACUUGGCUGUGACAGUAAGUUGCGUGACAGUGUACAAGUAUCACAGCACAGCAUCGCGAAGGCCCUGCAAUUACUCAGUGGUGCUCCUAACAAAACCAUUUGCUGAUGAAACAGUUCUUUAAGUCUCCAAAUUGAAGGAUGACGAGUAUGUAAGGUGUGUUUUCAGAGACAAAUUUGCACAUAGAUGAUCUAAAAUUAGUUGCUUACACCACUGUUUUGUAAUAGCAAAGAUACUGUUUGUAACAGUGCAAAUUAAUUUAGAAAAUUGUAUCCUACUUGUAUUAGUUUUUUCUUAAGUUUGAGAGCCAAAUAGUUAGAUCAACCAGCAGUGACUUAGUAGCACUCUGACCAAGUUUUACUCAAGUUAAAGUGAACAACUACAGAGUAAUAAAGAAAAAAGUUAAUAAUUGUGCUAGAUUUAA
ensembl:lncRNA